AUGCCACCAUGGGAGCGCUUCCGGGAACUCUGUCUCCUUCGGUUUGGGCCUCCUAUCUGCGGGAGCCGACUGGCGGCCCUCGGCCGCUUACCCUUCACAUCCACGGUGCAGGACUACGCCGACCGCUUCCAGGCCCUGGCGUGCCACGCGCCGGGCGUCUCCGCAACUCAGCGCGCUGAGUUAUUUGUGGGCGGUCUACCGGACCAUAUCCGCGUGGACAUGGAGCUUCGGGGACCCCAGGAUCUCCAGUCGGCCAUGUAUUACGCCCGCGCAUUCGAGCGCGGCGCGGUGGCCAUCCAGCAGGAAUCACCGUCCCAGACUGCUGGGUCGCUACCCGGACCGGAUUCCGCGCAGGGUCGGCCUGUGCAGGCUUCUGCGGCACCCCUCGCCGCGACCGCGGGGCGCCCGUUCCGCCAGCUCACCCCAGCUGAGAUACUCGAGCGUCGCCGCCAAGGGUUGUGCUUCAACUGCGACGAACCCUACAAGCCCGGCCACGCCUGCCCGCGACUCUUCUACCUGGAGGUGGCAGACUACAUUCCGGAGGACGCCGUCGUCGCCGACCUGGCCGCCCCAGAUGUCGAGAAGGUGUUUGACGCUGGUUGA
rnacentral:rRNA from 1 species